rfam:Ictidomys tridecemlineatus contig090671, whole genome shotgun sequence.
GGGGUUGUGGCUCAGUGGCACAGCGUUCAUCUAGCACAUGUGAGGCCCUGUGUUCAAUCCACAGCACCA